GUAUUCUUUUUCCAUGGUGAAUUUGAAAUUGGGUUCUGUGCUUCCGAUUUUUGGCAAUUUGAGAUAUGGGUAUUGAAUUGGAUUGUGACACCUUUUUUUUGGUGACAGAGAGGAGGAGGAUUUGGUAGCUUCUGAUAUUCCAGCCGGCUUCUCUUGUUCCUUCAAUUCCAGGUGAGAAAUAAAUUUUUGAAGCUUAAACUUGGUCUUUGGGUAAUUGGCAUAAGAUGAAUGGUUACCGACUUUAUACGGUUAGCUGUCACUGAUUUCAAAUUACACAACGAUCUGUAUAAGGGCCAAAAAAAGACAAUUUAGAUCACCAUGUUUUAUCAUUGAAGUUGCAUAGAGGUCACUGAUUUUCGAUUUAACAAAAGCAAUCACAAUCUUGAAGGUUUCAAUCCUUUGUGUUAGAUCAAGUUGAGUGAAAAAAAUCUUAUUUUAUUUGGUAUUUGGUUGGAUUUCUAUUUUUUUUUAGUUUGAUCAAGGAUAUCAAUCUUUUGGGUUAGUUCAAACUGUGGUUUUUGUGUGUUUGGUAUUUUCAUGUGCUUUAUUAUUGUGCAGGAAAAUAAAGGAGUGUGUUCUGAGUUAAGAGUAAAAGUUCAGUUGAUAUUAAUUUUUCCUCAAGAUCGACGACAUGAAUUGCUCGGUUAAGGUGUUUGUUCUUUUUUCCCCUUUUUCAGUUAAAUAUUUUGUUAAAAUUUUGAAACGAUGAAGGUAUCUGUUAUGUAUUUAGAUGUAUUAAAUCAAUUGGACUAUUUACUUAAAUAUCUCUAUCUCCAAAAAAAAACUGUGCUACGUUUUGCUUUUUGAUAAAUCGAUUAUCAUAAAUCUCAAAUAGGAAACCUUGUUAGUUUUGGAUUUCUUACCAUGGUGGUAGAAAUUAAAGGUCGGUUCUUAAAUUGGAAUGUAGGAAUUUUGAGCAUGAUCGUCUUUCUUCUGGUGUUUAACCUAGAAUAUGUAUUUUUGUAACCUGACCUCCUAGUCACAUGUCAGUGUACCCUUAAGUAUAUGGAAACUGAAGAAUGAGUACAAGUUUGACGGAUGGAGUACGAGUUUGAGUAUUGGAGUCACUCGAAUGUUUCCUUAACUUUGAUAAGUAUUUCGCUUCCUUUUACUUUAACUGUUUGGUUUGUUUUUCUG
rnacentral:lncRNA from 1 species